rnacentral:rRNA from 1 species
GAUCAUGGCUCAGGAUGAACGCUAGCGACAGGCUUAACACAUGCAAGUCGAGGGGCAGCAUAAAAGUAGCAAUACUUGGUGGCGACCGGCGCACGGGUGAGUAACGCGUAUGCAACCUACCUAUCAGAGGGGAAUAACCCGGCGAAAGUCGGACUAAUACCGCAUAAAACAGGGGCACCGCAUGGCGAUAUUUGUUAAAGAAAUUCGCUGAUAGAUGGGCAUGCGUUCCAUUAGGUAGUUGGUGAGGUAACGGCUCACCAAGCCGACGAUGGAUAGGGGAACUGAGAGGUUGGUCCCCCACACUGGUACUGGGACACGGACCAGACUCCUACGGGAGGCAGCAGUGAGGAAUAUUGGUCAAUGGGCGGGAGCCUGAACCAGCCAAGUCGCGUGAAGGAAGAAGGAUCUAUGGUUCGUAAACUUCUUUUGCAGGGGAAUAAAGUGCAGGACGUGUCCUGUUUUGUAUGUACCCUGAGAAUAAGGAUCGGCUAACUCCGUGCCAGCCGCCGC